AAGGAAUAUUGGUCAAUGGACGCAAGUCUGAACCAGCCAUGCCGCGUGAAGGAUGAAGGUCCUCUGGAUUGUAAACUUCUUUUAUCUGGGACGAAAACGGGAUUUUUAUCUCAAUUGACGGUACCAGAGGAAUAAGCACAGGCUAACUCCGUGCCAGCAGCCGCGGUAAUACGGAGGGUGCGAGCGUUAUCCGGAUUUACUGGGUUUAAAGGGUGCGUAGGUGGGCUUAUAAGUCAGUGGUGAAAUCUCCGAGCUUAACUUGGAAACUGCCGUUGAUACUAUAGGUCUUGAAUUAUCUGGAGGUAAGCGGAAUAUGUCAUGUAGCGGUGAAAUGCUUAGAUAUGACAUAGAACACCAAUUGCGAAGGCAGCUUACUACAUAUAAAUUGACGCUGAGGCACGAAAGCGUGGGGAUCAAACA
rnacentral:rRNA from 1 species